rnacentral:lncRNA from 1 species
UUUGUUAAAUUAAAAUGACCUUCUCAUGCAUAUUUUUUCCAUAUAGGGCCCAUCUGGACUAAAAGGAAUCCUGGACUCAUUGAACAAGCAUUAUAAUGAGAGUGACACAAGACUACUGGGAAUACUUGGGACCCCUGGACUUAAAGGCCAGAAAGGAGACAUUGUAAGCAUUUGGGAUGAAUUUGGAGAAGUUUCAAAGGGCCUACCCAACCUGUC